UUCAGCUGGACUAACGGGUCCAUGGCAGAAGGCCAGGGCAAGGAAUGCCCAGCUGAUGGCUCAGAGAGUGCUCAGCCUGCUCCCUGCAAUGAGGCUCAGCAGGCAGAGUCAAAGGAGAUGGCGAAGGAAAAUGAAGACCCCGGCACAGACUCGCUGUUGGACACCUCUCAAGACAAGUCCUUCUCAGAGGAGCCAGCCACUGACUCCUCGUGUUCAGCAACACUUCCCCCAGAGCAAACUCACAGCGACAGGGAAAAGCAGAGGCCCUCUGGGAAACGGAAGAAGAAGAAGAGGCACAGCAAAGGUUACUCAGAGGUUGAGACUGAUACUGGAGAUAAUAAAACAAAAAAAGAUUGUGUGGCACAAUGAGGUGUCACGGCAAGGCAGAAGGUGUAAGAGAACCUCUCGUGUGUCACUGGAGUGCUGCCAGCUGCUGAGACUCCAGGGUCUGCAUCAAAGAAACGCCAUCAUAGACACCUUCUGCCCCACCAAGACCCACUGCUUCUCCUCGUGCAGCCUUUCACUCCCCUCCCCAGGACCUAAAGAGCCUCCCCAGAGACUUUGGACCCCUCAGCCUGUGCCUUGCACUGGGCACCUGUGGGGACAGGGGACGGUUCUGUGCACAGCAGCAGUGAAAGGGUCAGACCUGCCAUCUGCUCUCCUGAAGCUGAGUCUUUGAACCUGCUCUUGGGCCAAACUCCUCUUGAAAUGACAGCUGAGUGUGGCCCAAGAACAGACUGCAGUGUUUAGCCCUCGGAGAAGUGUUAAAAACAGCAGUGCCUCAACUAAAUCAAGGGUAUAAAUUAAGCAGUGGCUGUAUCAUCACGGGUGGAAGUGUGUUAACUCCCUCUUCUCAUCACCCACUGACACUUUCUAUUGGACCAAGUCCAAGACCCAGAUUAGACAAAUGUAUUUUUACUCCCAAUCACUUUAAGCAAGGGAAAUCGGUUACAGGGAAAAAGCAGAAGAAAAAAG
rnacentral:lncRNA from 1 species